rnacentral:rRNA from 2 species
UGGGGAAUAUUGGGCAAUGGGGGAAACCCUGACCCAGCAACGCCGCGUGAGGGAUGAAGGUCUUCGGAUUGUAAACCUCUGUUGAAUGGGAAAAAAAGGUAGCAAUACUUUGAUGGUACCAUUUGAGGAAGCACCGGCUAACUACGUGCCAGCAGCCGCGGUAAUACGUAGGGUGCAAGCGUUGUUCGGAAUCACUGGGCGUAAAGGGAGCGUAGGCGGGAUCGUAAGUUAGGAGUUUAAUACAUGGGCUUAACCCGUGGCUGGCUUUUAAUACUGCGGUUCUUGAGUAUGGGAGAGGGCGAUGGAAUUCCAGGUGUAGCGGUGGAAUGCGUAGAUAUCUGGAAGAACACCAGUAGCGAAGGCGGUCGCCUGGCCUAAUACUGACGCUGAUGCUCGAAAGCUAGGGGAGCAAACAGG